rnacentral:rRNA from 1 species
CCCGUAGUUGACGACGUGUGUUCAGUGAAAUCGAGUAGGGCGGGACACGUGAUAUCCUGUCUGAAUAUGGGGGGACCAUCCUCCAAGGCUAAAUACUACUGACUGACCGAUAGUGAACCAGUACCGUGAGGGAAAGGCGAAAAGAACCCCUGUGAGGGGAGUGAAAUAGAACCUGAAACCGUGUACGUACAAGCAGUAGGAGCAGGCUUUGUCCUGUGACUGCGUACCUUUUGUAUAAUGGGUCAGCGACUUAUAUUCAGUGGCAAGGUUAACCAUCUAGGGGAGCCGUAGGGAAACCGAGUCUUAACUGGGCGUUCAGUCUCUGGAUAUAGACCCGAAACCAGGUGAUCUAGCCAUGGGCAGGUUGAAGGUUGAGUAACAUCAACUGGAGGACCGAACCGACUAAUGUUGAAAAAUUAGCGGAUGACUUGUGGCUAGGGGUGAAAGGCCAAUCAAACCUGGAGAUAGCUGGUUCUCCCCGAAAGCUAUUUAGGUAGCGCCUCGGACGAAUACUACUGGGGGUAGAGCACUGUUAAGGCUAGGGGGUCAUCCCGACUUACCAACCCUUUGCAAACUCCGAAUACCAGUAAGUACUAUCCGGGAGACACACGGCGGGUGCUAACGUCCGUCGUGGAGAGGGAAACAACCCAGACCGCCAGCUAAGGUCCCAAAUUACUACUAAGUGGGAAACGAUGUGGGAAGGCUCAGACAGCCAGGAUGUUGGCUUAGAAGCAGCCAUCAUUUAAAGAAAGCGUAAUAGCUCACUGGUCGAGUCGGCCUGCGCGGAAGAUGUAACGGGGCUAAGUAGUAAACCGAAGCUGCGGCAAUGUGCUUUUGCACAUUGGGUAGGGGAGCGUUCUGUAAGCGGUUGAAGGUGUGUGGUAACGCAUGCU